rnacentral:rRNA from 1 species
GGGCUAAACCAUGCACCGAAGCUGCGGCAGCGACGCUUAUGCGUUGUUGGGUAGGGGAGCGUUCUGUAAGCCGUCGAAGGUGUGCUGUGAGGCAUGCUGGAGGUAUCAGAAGUGCGAAUGCUGACAUAAGUAACGAUAAAGCGGGUGAAAAGCCCGCUCGCCGGAAGACCAAGGGUUCCUGUUCAACGUUAAUCGGAGCAGGGUGAGUCGACCCCUAAGGCGAGGCCGAAAGGCGUAGUCGAUGGGAAACAGGUUAAUAUUCCUGUACUCGGUGUUACUGCGAAGGGGGGACGGAGAAGGCUAUAUCAGCCGGGCGACGGUUGUCCCGGUUUAAGCGUGUAGGCGGAGUGUCCAGGUAAAUCCGGACGCUUGUUAACGCUGAGGCGUGACGACGAGGCACUACGGUGCUGAAGUGAUAAAUGCCCAGCUUCCAGGAAAAGCCUCUAAGCAUCAGGUAACACAGAAUCGUACCCCAAACCGACACAGGUGGUCAGGUAGAGAAUACCAAGG